GGCUGCGUCAUGUGACGUAGUGCGGGGGCGGGACGCCGUGAUAGGCAUCCCGGCCGGCCAACGGUCAGUCCGUAUUCCCCCCUGGAAGCCCCGCCCAUCAUCCUGAAGGCGGCAAGGUGGUCUCAGGUGCGACCCCUGCAGACAGAGGCGUGUGUAGACAGCAGGGCCAGCUGGUCUGAGCGUGGCCCGUGCAGCAGGAAGCUGAGCAGAGAGGCUGGGUGUGGCCCAACGCUGAUGACAUCAUCUGAGCCCUGGACAGACCCAGCCGUCCUGAGAUCCAAGCCCAGUGGGUGCUGGUGAGAGCAGUGUACAUGGCUCCGAGACUCCCACCCCACUGGGGCACUCCAUUUUGGACUGUGGACCUCCCAGGCUGCAGGAUGAAACCAACCUUCCUCCUUCCCAAGUCGAUCCGUUAGGUCUGCUAAGGAUGGCGCACAAAAGACCUACACAGCUGGACGAAGCCUGCUCCUGGAGCCAGCAGCAGAGAGGGAGCAGAGGAGGCCAGGAGGCUGGGGAGGAGGCGGGGGUGUCCCCCCAGAGGGCACGGUGGGAGGGGCAGGUGGGAGAGGCAGUGAGAGGCCCAGUCCCGUCCCAGGCAGUGGAAAUAGGAUGGCAGAGGUCUCGGCACAGAAAGGCACAUUAGCAGGGAGCUGGAUCGGAAGUAGAGCCACCGGGACUCAAACACAUGCCCACAUGGGAUGCCAGCAUCCUACGGCGUGGCUAAACCUGCUGUGCCAUGAAGUGGGCCCCAAUCAACCAACCUCAACAGCACUCACAGUGAGCUAGAAAUCCCAGGAUGCCCAGGCUUCUCUAAAGUUCCAGACUUUUCCAGAGUGCCAAGGCUGGUGCACCUGCACCCUCCUGCCCCCAACCCUGGCUCAGAGUUCCUCUGCUUGGCAAUGCCUUCCUACCCGCCCCCCUCCCCCCGGGGGGGAAGCCCCCUCCUCUCUCCUGGUCCAGGGUUUAAUUGUGAUCGAAGGGCUGGGAAAACCCGAAAGCGGCAUAUGACCCGGAUCUGUUCUGUUCUCUGAGGCUCUGACUUCCGGGAGCUCUGUGAGGGACAGCUCCUCCCAGGUGUGGCCAAUUCCUAGGGGGUCCUAAACAGCCUGCCCAUUGGAGCAAAUGCCCCAGUCCAGAGCCCACACCCCAGCCAUGUUCCGGAUGCAGCUGUCACAUGCUGGCCACCGUCCACCUGCCCUACACAGCCCCGAGCCGGGUACCAGACAAUAGAGACAGCGCCCAGAGCCAAGCCACACCUGCCUACCCCGCCUCACCCGUUUUCCUCAGCUGUGUUUUCGGGGGCGCCUCUCCUGCUCAGCUGGCCUCCCACAUCUCACCACCACUGCAGCUCCGCUGUGUUUGCCAGCACAGGGCUUUUGAGCUGGAGCGUGUACUGGGCGCUGGCGGUUCACCUGUUUUUGGAACUCGUUUUGGGGUGGCUGGCAAAACCCUCCUCCGCGCAGGUGCAGCGCCUUGCCUGGAAGUGGGUGGGAGGGAGACCAUUCUGUGCCCAUAACGAGAGAAAUGCUGGCGAUUCGGACGUGGAGUUGCAAUGACCACCGCCUUCUUCCCGUGUGAACCCCAGCUCCGCCCCCUCACGCCGGGCAACUUGGGCAGGUCCCUUGACUUCUCUAGGACUCCGCUUCUUCACCAGUGAUCCGGGAUGGUUGGGAGCCAUCUCUUCGGAUCACAGAGUGGGCUGAAUGCGAUCAUGAGUGAAUGCUUCCACCAGUUCACGUUCAGUAAGUGGAGAAACCACAGGUGCGGGAGCUCUGGUUGCUGGCGUUUCAACACCCAGGUGUCAUCGGUCUCUUAGAGACACCAGCCUGAGCCCCAAGGCCUGAGCUUGGAGAAGACUGUGGAUUCCUGGCUGGGGAAGCUGGCGCUGUCACCAUCUUGAGCUCCCCAGGGCUGGCCACCCAGCUCUGCCUUUUGGGGUGAGCAGAGCUGUCACUAACACGGUUGCUGCCAAGGACCCCUACUUACAGCAAAUUGAGCUAGAACUAAAAACGGAGUAAGGGGCCGGCGCCGUGGGUCCUCCAUCUGUGGCACCGGCAUCCCAUAUGGGCACCAGUUCUAGUCCUGGCUGCUCCUCUUCCAAUCCAGCUUCCUGCUAAUGCACCUGGGAAAGCAGUGGAAGAUGGCCCAAGUGCUUGGGCUCCCACACCCAUGCGGGAGACCAGGAAGAAGCACCUGACUCCUGGCUUUGGAUCAGCACAGCUCCGGCUGUUGCAGCUAUCUGGCGAGUGAACCAGCGGAUGGAAGACCUCUCUCUCUGUCUCUCCCUCUCACUGUCUGUAACUCUACCUCUCAAAUAAAUAAAUAAAUAAAUCUUAAAAAAAAUGGAGUGAACCAGAGAGGGUGCCAGCGAGUCUGCAUCCAUCACUCUGUCCAGCUCCUGGGGCUGAAGAUGGUUUCCCCUCUUCUCCCCCAACUGUCUUCCUUUGGUUCUCUAAUUACCACACACAGACUCUCAUCUGGGAAGCUCCCCUGGCUAAGACACCCCAUGAGCCCAUGGAUGCCAGGGCAAUGGGAACACCCUGCGUGCGGCUGCCACCAGACCCCCAGAUGUUUCUGGGGCACUCAGUGUCGCCCCUUGCGUGUUUCCUGUUCCCCUUCUCCUUAGGGCCUAGAGCAGCCUCCAGGUCUCCAAGGACAGCUUGAUGCUAACCAUCCUCAGAGUUCCAGUCCAGUGUCAUUUUCAGCUCAUAUGUGAAAUGUUUUGCUGAUAGAGACGUCUGCCGAAUUAGUAUUUUUAAAUCGAAGGACACGCCUAAUGUUUACAUCAGUAUUACUGAAAACUGUUUUGUCUUACAGAGAAGAGGUCUGAAAAAAAAAUCCAUCUGGUGUCAUAUGAGGGUACUUGAAAAAGCCAGGGGGGGGGGGCUGGCACUGUGGCGUAGCAGGUAAAUCCACUGCCUGCAGUGCUGGCGUCCCAUAUGGGCGCCAGUUCAAGUCCUGGCUGCUCCACUUCCGAUCCAGCUCUCUGCUGUGGCCUGGGAAAGCAGAAGAAGAUGGCCCAAGUCCUUGGGCUCCUGCACCCACGUGGGAGACCUGAAGGAAGCUCCUGGCUCCUGGCUUCGGAUCAGCACAGCUUCGGCUGUUGAGGCCAGUUGGGGAGUGAACAAGCAGAUGGAAGACUCUCUCUCUCUCUCUCUGCCUCUCCUUCUCUGUGUAACUCUGA